rnacentral:rRNA from 1 species
GUGAACGCUGGCGGUAGGCCUAACACAUGCAAGUCGCACGGCAGCACAGUAAGAGCUUGCUCUUACGGGUGGCGAGUGGCGGACGGGUGAGGAAUACAUCGGAAUCUACUUUUUCGUGGGGGAUAACGUAGGGAAACUUACGCUAAUACCGCAUACGACCUACGGGUGAAAGCAGGGGAUCUUCGGACUUUGCGCGAUUGAAUGAGCCGAUGUCGGAUUAGCUAGUUGGCGGGGUAAAGGCCCACCAAGGCGACGAUCCGUAGCUGGUCUGAGAGGAUGAUCAGCCACACUGGAACUGAGACACGGUCCAGACUCCUACGGGAGGCAGCAGUGGGGAAUAUUGGACAAUGGGCGCAAGCCUGAUCCAGCCAUACCGCGUGGGUGAAGAAGGCCUUCGGGUUGUAAAGCCCUUUUGUUGGGAAAGAAAAGCAGCAGGUUAAUACCCCGCUGUUCUGACGGUACCCAAAGAAUAAGCACCGGCUAACUUCGUG